rnacentral:rRNA from 1 species
UCCGGAGGGUGCAAUCGUUGUUCGGAAUUACUGGGCGUAAAGGGCGCGUAGGCGGUGUAGUAAGUCAGAUGUGAAAGCCCUGGGCUCAACCCAGGAAGUGCAUUUGAAACUGCUACACUUGAGUAUGGGAGAGGAGAGUGGAAUUCCCAGUGUAGAGGUGAAAUUCGUAGAUAUUGGGAGGAACACCCGUGGCGAAGGCGACUCUCUGGACCAAUACUGACGCUGAGGCGCGAAAGCGUGGGGAGCAAACAGG